rnacentral:rRNA from 1 species
ACAGCAGCAGCCGCGGGAAUACGUAGGGUGCAAGCGUUAAUCGGAAUUACUGGGCGUAAAGCGUGCGCAGGCGGUUCUAUAAGACAGAUGUGAAAUCCCCGGGCUCAACCUGGGAACUGCGUUUGUGACUGUAGAGCUGGAGUGCGGCAGAGGGGGAUGGAAUUCCGCGUGUAGCAGUGAAAUGCGUAGAUAUGCGGAGGAACACCGAUGGCGAAGGCAAUCCCCUGGGCCUGCACUGACGCUCAUGCACGAAAGCGUGGGGAGCAAACAGGAUUAGAUACCCCCGUAGUCCCUGUCUCUUAUAC